AAACAAUGUUGAAGAAUCCAAAAGCCCAGGAAUCACAAUAAACUGGACCACCGAGACAAAGGGGGUAGACAUACUAUACACGCACACAUGAUCUGCCAACAGACAAAGACAACACAGAGACUACAUACACCAGGUACCGAGGGUGGAACCAGGGACAGGUGACACGAGGGCUCAGGAACAGCAGGGCGGGGUAGACAAUCACAGGGGCGGGAAAUUCACACAAAGGGAGGAAGUCAGGGUCUGAAACGAGAGGGAAAGGGAAUACAAAAUAAAACAGA